rnacentral:rRNA from 1 species
UACGUAGGGUGCAAGCGUUAAUCGGAAUUACUGGGCGUAAAGCGUGCGCAGGCGGUUUUGUAAGUCUGUCGUGAAAUCCCCGGGCUCAACCUGGGAAUUGCGAUGGAGACUGCAAGGCUAGAAUCUGGCAGAGGGGGGUAGAAUUCCACGUGUGAGCAGUGAAAUGCGUAGAGAUGUGGAGGAACACCGAUGGCGAAGGCAGCCCCCUGGGUCAAGAUUGACGCUCAUGCACGAAAGCGUGGGAGCAACAGGAUAGAAACCC